rnacentral:lncRNA from 1 species
AUGUUGUUGUUUGCUAUCACCAGGCAUCAUCCUAGUCAUUCCCUAUACCACUGACCUUUGGACAACACAGGUUUAAACUGUGCAGGUCCACUUAUAUGUGGAUUUUUUUUUUAAACAAAUGCAGUACAGUACCGUAAAUGUGUUUUCCUUAUGAUUUUUCUUAUAUAUCAUUUUCUUCUCUCUAGCUUAUCCUAUUUUAAGACUACAGUAUAUAAAACAUAUAGCAUAUAAAUAAGUGUUAUUCAACUAUGUCUUCAGUAAGGCUUCCAGUCAACAGUAGGCUAUUAGUAGGGAGUCAAAAGUUUUACAUGGAUUUCAACUAUGCUGGAAGUCAGUGUGUGGUUUGUAUGCAGGGGUGCAAGAGCACCUGGUUCUGGGGGUCCCAAACAGACCAGGUUUGGCUUCUCACCACUGACAAAACCAAAGGUGGAGGGACAGGAGUGGUGCAACAAGAAAUGAAUUUAGUUCAGCAAGACCAAUAGUGGAAGAGAGGGGUCUAGUAUCUCAAAGACUGUCUUCAAAGUGCCACAGAUACUUCCAGGUUUAUAAAAGGAAAAUGUGGGGCAAAGGUGAGUAGGUAUGUACAGGUAGGCAGCAAAGAUUCAAACUGAUCAUUGUCUUGGAGUCGAUCAUGUGUGGCGUCUUGCAGGCUCUAGGCUGUCCCUACUGCUUGAGGGGAUAGAUUCAGUUCCCAUCAGGGGAUGCUUCGCUCUCAGGGUCUUCUGACCCAAGAGACUAGCUGGAAAGAACUCAGCUAGAAAGUUUGAGGUCAAAUGGAGCAGCUGGAGCCCUCUUUCAAGUGCCCCUAAUUCCUGCAUAUUCUGGGUUCAACUACAUAUUAUUUCAUUGACUCUUAAUGAGAGAAAAGAAGUCCUCUCAGGUAAAUGCUAUUAUUGAUGUAGUUUUCAUAAUAGUUUGGUGAGGUUGGUGGGGUAUAGGGCCAAUGGCCAAGAAUUCUUGAGACAUCUUUGGAGCAAAAUGGUGGUUUUAUUAAAGCACAGGACAGGACCUGGGAGGCAGGAAGAGCUACUACCCCAGGAUUAUGAGGGGCAACUGAUUAUAUACUUUGGGGUUUAGGGAAGCAGAGAUAAGAUAAGUUCCAAAAGGAUUUUCACAUGCUAAAGAAGACUCACAGGAUACUGGAGGCCUUGCUAUUGUCAAACCAAGGUUGUUUUUCUCUCUAGCAAGGCAUUAAUAUUAAGAUAGUUGGGAGCUUCCUAGAGAAACAUUAUACUCUGCCUGUCUCAAGUAUUUGUCAAUGGCCUGCCGGUUAUAAAAACAUUUAACUUUAUCUACAUUUCCUUCUGCCUUUUUUUCCCAUACCAUUAUUAUCCUCAUUUUAUAGCUGACAAUAUAGCAGGUGAGAGACAAUAAAUUUACUUAAUAUUAAAGGGGCAGUGGAGCCACAUUUGGAACCCGGGUAGUCUGAUGCCCCAGCCCACACCUUCAUGUGCUGAACCACAGUGCCUCAGCACAGCUAGUGACCCUAACCUGUUAGCUUCUCAUCCAAUUGGGUAAGCCACAAAGACUACUCAAAUUGUCCUCAGAGGGAUGCCUGGGUGGCUCAGUGGUUGAAUGUCUGCUUUUGGCUCUCAGGGUAAGAUCCCGGGAUCCUGGGAUCGAGUCCUGUAUCGGGCUCCCUGAGAGGAGCCUGCUUCUCCCUCUGCCUGUGUCUGCCUCUCUCUCUCUCUGUCUCUCAUGAAUAAAUAAAUAGAAUCUUUAAAAAAAUAAAAUAAAAAAAAAAGUAA